GUUGAAUCAGCUGCCAGCAGCCAGUGCUUUCAUCAGUUAUGCCUGCCUCCAUAAACUCCCAGAAGGCUGGGAGAUUCGGGGAGGGAGAGCCUAGGGAGAGGGCCUGGAAGCUCCGCGCCCUUUCCCGGUUUCUUGCGCUGAGCGUCUCUUCCACCUGGCUGUCUGGAGUUAAAUCCCUGUAUCAGAAACCAGUGAUCUCCUGCAAACCUGAAAAUUUCCCCAAAGGCCUCUGGGAGUGAGCACUCUGGGAAGAUUCAAAUCUUGAAGGUUACAGAAGGCACAAGAAAAACAAUACAGAACUUCAAUCAGCAUUCCAUGAUGAAAGCAAAGGUCUGAGCCUUACAUGAAGAGAAAGCAGGUAAAUUUACAUUUAUAUAUAUUUAAAUGGAUUCAUGUGUUUACUCUUACAUGUAUCUGUACAAAGAAUACUUUUCAGGUAGUGCCAUUUUUUCAUUCUUUUCCCCAGUAACUACCAAGCAUCAGUGCUGUCAGAUUGGG